CAGCAUCAGAGCUCAAGUGAGGCAAAAUUAAAAAGAAGCAGCCACUGAAAAAACGAGACUGAGAGGAGGUAAUUGCUGAACCAGGACCAAAGGAGGCAGGAGAAUAUCACGCAUGGAUGGAAACAUCACAUCCUGUGAAACAGAAUGGAUUUCUGGCAAAGACGACUGCAGAUAGAACCCAUUGUGGUGAAAACUGGGGACUUUCUGCCCCAGUAUGUUGGACUGUACCCUCCCUGACCUCACCAUUAGCAAUGUUGAAGAUGACUCUCCAGUUAAGUUAUCAAGGUCAUGUAAUACUGGGAAAGAAGAUGACCGUGGAAUGCCUGGAUUCAAGCCCUGGUCUUCUAUUUGCAAGAUGAGUUCUUUGGAUAAAUCACAAUCUACCAGAACUUCAGUUUGCUCUUUUGUAAAUUGGAGGUCGGCCCAAGGAAUCCACUUGCCUGAGGAAAUACUAGGAUCUUUUUAAAAGAGAAACACAAAGAGGGAAAAUGAGCAAUCAGCUUCUACUAUACAAUAUAGAAUUCUGCAGAAGACAAUUUCUAUUGUCUUGAGAGAGAAUUUUUCCAAGUCCUUUUUGCCUCCUCAUCAGAGACCCAACACUUACAGAGAUCACCUGUAGUGUGGAAAUGAUAGAGCCCUGGG
rnacentral:lncRNA from 1 species